rnacentral:rRNA from 1 species
AUUGAACGCUGGCGGCAUGCCUUACACAUGCAAGUCGAACGGAUUCAAGGGGCUUGCUCCUUGAGUUAGUGGCGAACGGGUGAGUAAAGCAUCGGAACGUACCCAGUCGUGGGGGAUAACGUAGCGAAAGUUACGCUAAUACCGCAUACGUCCUGAGGGAGAAAGCGGGGGACCGAAAGGCCUCGCGCGAUUGGAGCGGCCGAUGUCAGAUUAGCUAGUUGGUGGGGUAAAAGCCUACCAAGGCGACGAUCUGUAGCUGGUCCGAGAGGAUGAUCAGCCACACUGGGACUGAGACACGGCCCAGACUCCUACGGGAGGCAGCAGUGGGGAAUUUUGGACAAUGGGGGCAACCCUGAUCCAGCCAUGCCGCGUGAGUGAAGAAGGCCUCGGUUGUAAG